UUUUCUCUUGGUGAUUGAAGCAAUGGGAGUUGUUUGGGUUUUUCAUUUUUGUGUCCUGACUGUUUGGCUUGCCAAAGGUUCUUGUUGGCUAGCUACUGACACAAAAGAAAGACGGAGUAAUGGUAAGGAGAACAAAUUAACAGGUGAUGAUAUCAGUGACUAAAUCUUAAGUGAGUUACUUUCUGAUCAUCUUUUUGUGCGACAGAUCAGCUCUCCAUAAAGAAGGCCCUUGAACGUUUCCAGUUAAAGGAGAUUGCGUUGGAGAAACGUGCUGAUGAAGUACAACUGGAAACCAAUGAAGUGGAAACUCAGGCUGUAGCUCGCCGUGUGCGGCUUCAGGAGAAGCUCGAG